rnacentral:rRNA from 1 species
UACGGAGGGUGCAAGCGUUAUCCGGAUUUACUGGGUUUAAAGGGAGCGUAGGUGGGUCGGUAAGUCAGUGGUGAAAUCUUCGAGCUUAACUCGGAAACUGCCAUUGAUACUAUCGAUCUUGAAUUAUCUGGAGGUAAGCGGAAUAUGUCAUGUAGCGGUGAAAUGCUUAGAUAUGACAUAGAACACCCAUUGCGAAGGCAGCUUACUACGGAUAUAUUGACACUGAGGCUCGAAAAGCGUGGGGGAUCAAACAGGA